rnacentral:lncRNA from 1 species
UCAACCAUGAUGCUUGCUUGGUCUUGUCCUGUGUACGUCACCAUGUAUAAUAGGAGAUUGAUCAUCCCAGAAAGUGAGGAGCACCAGGACAUACCUUUCAAACUCUAGCUUCUGGACGACAAUACCAUUCAGCAAAAGCUCCGGAGUCAAAUAUUCCCAUACCUGAAAUGCCAAGAAAUUGCACAAUUGAUACAUAAAUUCGAGGGAUAGAGAUAGCACAUAAGAACUUAUAAGUACCGAAGGUAUAUGGCGCCAGUGUAUUGGUAAAUACCAUUCUUAAUGAACCGUAAACAGAUGUUGCAGUCUUGUUAAUAAGAGAUUACAAAGGCUCCUUCCAAAUUCAAAUUCUUAUUCUUCAUCAUAGACACUGUGAUCCUCCCCAACAGCUGACAAGCCAUCAAAACAUACUCAGCAUAAAAACAAGUUAAGAAAAUAUAUAAUGAUGUCUAGAAGUCCUUGAAUUGUAUCCAUGACAGCCGCAGAAAAAAAGUGACAAUUGUCCAAUUUAUGGCAACACAAAGUGCACAUCAAGAAGAAAUAACUAAGGCAUCAAGACAGAAUGUAACACAGGUCACAAGAAAAUCUUCUAAGUAACAGAUACAGGGCUGCACUUUGGCUCCAUAGCAUACUUACUGUACCUCACAUAUUCUUUUUAGUAUUCGCUGCAAUCACAAGGUCUCAGAAUUUUUGCUGUAAUUUACAUAACUUGAAAAUCAAAAUCAUUUUUUAGCAUUGCCAUAAACUACUAAAAAAUUAGUCACUUGGA